rnacentral:rRNA from 1 species
GAUGAACGCUGGCGGCGUGCCUAAUACAUGCAAGUCGAGCGAACGGACGAGAAGCUUGCUUCUCUGAUGUUAGCGGCGGACGGGUGAGUAACACGUGGAUAACCUACCUAUAAGACUGGGAUAACUUCGGGAAACCGGAGCUAAUACCGGAUAAUAUUUUGAACCGCAUGGUUCAAAAGUGAAAGACGGUCUUGCUGUCACUUAUAGAUGGAUCCGCGCUGCAUUAGCUAGUUGGUAAGGUAACGGCUUACCAAGGCAACGAUGCAUAGCCGACCUGAGAGGGUGAUCGGCCACACUGGAACUGAGACACGGUCCAGACUCCUACGGGAGGCAGCAGUAGGGAAUCUUCCGCAAUGGGCGAAAGCCUGACGGAGCAACGCCGCGCGAGUGAUGAAGGUCUUCGGAUCGUAAAACUCUGUUAUUAGGGAAGAACAUAUGUGUAAGUAACUGUGCACAUCUUGACGGUACCUAAUCAGAAAGCCACGGCUAACUACGUGCCAGCAGCCGCGGUAAUACGUAGGUGGCAAGCGUUAUCCGGAAUUAUUGGGCGUAAAGCGCGCGUAGGCGGUUUUUUAAGUCUGAUGUGAAAGCCCACGGCUCAACCGUGGAGGGUCAUUGGAAACUGGAAAACUUGAGUGCAGAAGAGGAAAGUGGAAUUCCAUGUGUAGCGGUGAAAUGCGCAGAGAUAUGGAGGAACACCAGUGGCGAAGGCGACUUUCUGGUCUGUAACUGACGCUGAUGUGCGAAAGCGUGGGGAUCAAACAGGAUUAGAUACCCUGGUAGUCCACGCCGUAAACGAUGAGUGCUAAGUGUUAGGGGGUUUCCGCCCCUUAGUGCUGCAGCUAACGCAUUAAGCACUCCGCCUGGGGAGUACGACCGCAAGGUUGAAACUCAAAGGAAUCGACGGGGACCCGCACAAGCGGUGGAGCAUGUGGUUUAAUUCGAAGCAACGCGAAGAACCUUACCAAAUCUUGACAUCCUUUGACAACUCUAGAGAUAGAGCCUUCCCCUUCGGGGGACAAAGUGACAGGUGGUGCAUGGUUGUCGUCAGCUCGUGUCGUGAGAUGUUGGGUUAAGUCCCGCAACGAGCGCAGCCCUUAAGCUUAGUUGCCAUCAUUAAGUUGGGCACUCUAAGUUGACUGCCGGUGACAAACCGGAGGAAGGUGGGGAUGACGUCAAAUCAUCAUGCCCCUUAUGAUUUGGGCUACACACGUGCUACAAUGGACAAUACAAAGGGCAGCGAAACCGCGAGGUCAAGCAAAUCCCAUAAAGUUGUUCUCAGUUCGGAUUGUAGUCUGCAACUCGACUACAUGAAGCUGGAAUCGCUAGUAAUCGUAGAUCAGCAUGCUACGGUGAAUACGUUCCCGGGUCU